AGGUAGCAUCCAAAAGAUAAGAUGCCUACCCGAUACGGUAUUCCUAGAGUAAAAUUAUAAUUUCCUGCUCGUGGUAUUGUAAGCAGGUUCUGCAAGUCUCAAAUGAUAAGGCAGCUGA
rfam:Triticum aestivum genome assembly, contig: Triticum_aestivum_CS42_TGACv1_scaffold_328195_4BS